UGAAAAUUUCAGCAAGAAAGAAGCCAUGGAUGAUGGAAAAUUUUAGCUAGUCAAAUUCCUUGCAUCUUGUGUGAGCAACACCGUGUAGCUACGUCUUGACUGACAACUUAUGUGAGCAGACCCAAUUAUGGCUCGAGGGAGAACAUUGAUAUGAGAUAUGAGAUGGUAGUGGUUUUGACCACGUGUUGGUACAUAGUCUGCGAGAUUCCCGCGUAUUCGAUAUCAUUCUAGUGGUUCAACAGGCACAAUUCUAUUACGAGAUGAUAUGAGUUCGAUACGAACUAAUACAGAUUAUCGAAAGCUCGAUUAGGUUGGAAGCUCGUUGGAGAUUUAUCACACUAUCCAAAAAUUAUAUUGGUAGAUUUUGAUAUCUUGGUUAAGGUUAUAAUGACAUGUAUAGGUAUUUUGGCUAAUGUUAGCCUAUGUGUUUUGGUUGUAGAAAUGAUCAUUUGGUUAGUUUGCAUUUUGGCCUUGUGUUAGUAAAAUGAUAUAUAUAUUAUAAGGUGUAUAUAAGUAGCCUUGUAAUGUUUGAUAUAUGACUUGUUAUGAUUCAAUGAUGGUAGAUAGAAAAAUAGAUGAAUGUGCAUAUUAGAUAUGACAUAUAACUUGUUGUAAAUUGGUGUUUUACCAUAAUAAGCAUAUCGUAUUUUGAUACUAAUAA